rnacentral:rRNA from 1 species
GACGAACGCUGGCGGCGUGCUUAACACAUGCAAGUCGAACGGAAAGGCCCUGCUUUUGUGGGGUGCUCGAGUGGCGAACGGGUGAGUAACACGUGAGUAACCUGCCCUUGACUUUGGGAUAACUUCAGGAAACUGGGGCUAAUACCGGAUAGGAGCUCCUGCUGCAUGGUGGGGGUUGGAAAGUUUCGGCGGUUGGGGAUGGACUCGCGGCUUAUCAGCUUGUUGGUGGGGUAGUGGCUUACCAAGGCUUUGACGGGUAGCCGGCCUGAGAGGGUGACCGGCCACAUUGGGACUGAGAUACGGCCCAGACUCCUACGGGAGGCAGCAGUGGGGAAUAUUGCACAAUGGGCGGAAGCCUGAUGCAGCAACGCCGCGUGCGGGAUGACGGCCUUCGGGUUGUAAACCGCUUUCGCCUGUGACGAAGCGUGAGUGACGGUAAUGGGUAAAGAAGCACCGGCUAACUACGUGCCAGCAGCCGCGGUGAUACGUAGGGUGCGAGCGUUGUCCGGAUUUAUUGGGCGUAAAGGGCUCGUAGGUGGUUGAUCGCGUCGGAAGUGUAAUCUUGGGGCUUAACCCUGAGCGUGCUUUCGAUACGGGUUGACUUGAGGAAGGUAGGGGAGAAUGGAAUUCCUGGUGGAGCGGUGGAAUGCGCAGAUAUCAGGAGGAACACCAGUGGCGAAGGCGGUUCUCUGGGCCUUUCCUGACGCUGAGGAGCGAAAGCGUGGGGAGCGAACAGGCUUAGAUACCCUGGUAGUCCACGCUGUAAACGGUGGGUACUAGGUGUGGGGUCCAUUCCACGGGUUCCGUGCCGUAGCUAACGCUUUAAGUACCCCGCCUGGGGAGUACGGCCGCAAGACUAAAACUCAAAGGAAUUGACGGGGCCCCGCACAAGCGGCGGAGCAUGCGGAUUAAUUCGAUGCAACGCGUAGAACCUUACCUGGGUUUGACAUGGAUCGGGAGUGCUCAGAGAUGGGUGUGCCUCUUUUGGGGUCGGUUCACAGGUGGUGCAUGGCUGUCGUCAGCUCGUGUCGUGAGAUGUUGGGUUAAGUCCCGCAACGAGCGCAACCCUUGUUCACUGUUGCCAGCACGUUAUGGUGGGGACUCAGUGGAGACCGCCGGGGUCAACUCGGAGGAAGGUGGGGACGACGUCAAGUCAUCAUGCCCCUUAUGUCCAGGGCUUCACGCAUGCUACGAUGGCUGGUACAGAGAGUGGCGAGCCUGUGAGGGUGAGCGAAUCUCGGAAAGCCGGUCUCAGUUCGGAUUGGGGUCUGCAACUCGACCUCAUGAAGUCGGAGUCGCUAGUAAUCGCAGAUCAGCAACGCUGCGGUGAAUACGUUCCCGGG